CACCCUUCUUGUUUUGCAGGAUGGAGUGGGAGGAAGGCAGGCUGGCAGCCACAGCACAAGACCUCACAACCACAGCUCCCAGAUUCCACUACUUGUUCCACUGCUGGUCCUGAGCAGCAUUAUCUGCAGGGCUGAAUGAGCUGCUGGUGGAAGGCUGAGAUGGGAGAUCAGCAGAGGUUCAUGACUGCCAGUAGCAAAUCCCAUGGAAAAAGCAAAGGCAGAGUUGUUAAGGACAUCUUCUCAGAACCAGAACUGGAAGUGGUGAACCCUGGAGCAUCCUGCUCCUUUACCAGCACCUUGUAGCCUGCAGUGGAGACUAAUUCCUACAGCUGUAUGGAUUG